rnacentral:tRNA from 1 species
GGUUAUGGCUCAGCGGUACAGUGCUUGCCUGGCACAUGCAAGGUCCUGGGUUCGAUCCUCAGCACCA